UGGCGGCGUGCCUAACACAUGCAAGUCGAGCGGGGACAUGCGACGGAUAGGAAGAUUCGGUUGGACUUGAAGACGCAUUGUCUAGCGGCGGACGGGUGAGUAACGCGUGAGCAACCUGUCCCUUACAGGGGGAUAACACAGCGAAAGUUGUACUAAUACCGCAUGAGACCACGGGAGGCAUCCUUCAGGGGUCAAAGGAGCAAUCCGGUAAGGGGUGGGCUCGCGUCCGAUUAGAUAGUCGGUGAGGUAACGGCCCACCAAGUCGACGAUCGGUAGCCGACCUGAGAGGGUGAUCGGCCACAUUGGGACUGAGACACGGCCCAAACUCCUACGGGAGGCAGCAGUGGGGAAUAUUGGGCAAAUGGGGGAAACCCUGACCCAGCAACGCCGCGUGAGGGAAGAAGGUUUUCGGAUCGUAAACCUCUGUCCUUGGUGAAGAGGAAGGGACGGUAGCCAAGGAGGAAGCCCCGGCUAACUACGUGCCAGCCGCAGC
rnacentral:rRNA from 1 species